rnacentral:rRNA from 1 species
UUGGGGGAUUUUAAUGAAAUUUUAUAUUCCUCGGAAAAAGAGGGCGGUAAUGCGAGACCAAAUGGAAUGAUGAGGGAUUUUCGUGAAUGCCUUAUGGACUGUGGGCUGGAGGACUUAGGUUACAUGGGCAAUCCUUUUACUUGGAGUAGAGGUGAAAUUCGAGAGCGUCUUGAUCGGGCAGUUUGCAAUGUGGGGUGGGCACAUAAAUUUCCUCGUGCGGCGGUGAUUAAUGAAGAACAUGUUCAUUCUGAUCAUCGGUCGCUGGUCUUGGACAUGGAUUAUUUGGAUGACAAUAUUUUCAGACGACCAGAGGGGCGCGUGAAGCAAUUUGAAGCUAGGUGGUUAAAGGAAGAGAUUGUCACUGAAAUUGUUAAGGCUUCUUGGGAAAAAGCAAAGUUAGCAGGUAUUGUCCCUUCACUAGUUGAUCGAAUGAGAGUCGUGCAUGCCGAUUUGCACGCUUGGGAUCGUGUAACUCUCAAGGGCCCGAAGCGGAGAAUUAAUAAAUUAAAAAAAUAG